CCUACGGGAGGCAGCAGUGAGGAAUAUUGGUCAAUGGACGAGAGUCUGAACCAGCAAAGUAGCGUGAAGGAUGACUGCCCUAUGGGUUGUAAACUUCUUUUAUAAAGGAAUAAAACGAGGCACGUGUGCCUUUUUGCAUGUACUUUAUGAAUAAGGAUCGGCUAACUCCGUGCCAGCAGCCGCGGUAAUACGGAGGAUCCGAGCGUUAUCCGGAUUUAUUGGGUGUAAAGGGAGCGUAGAUGGGUUGUUAAGUCAGUUGUGAAAGUUUGCGGCUCAACCGUAAAAUUGCAAUUGAUACUGGCAGUCUUGAGUACAGUUGAGGUAGGCGGAAUUCGUGGUGUAGCGGUGAAAUGCGUAGAUAUCACGAAGAACCCCGAUUGCGAAGGCAGCUUACUAAACUGUGACUGACAUUGAGGCUCGAAAGUGUGGGUAGCAAACAGGAUUAGAUACCCGUGUAGUC
rnacentral:rRNA from 1 species